GGUGGUGACGCCGGGAUUCGUGUCAACCAACAUGACGUUACAGAGGGAUGUGAGAGCGGGCUGUCCGACGGCGGAGACCUAUGUUCGCAGCACCAUCGCUACCGUCGGCCUGCAGUCUCGCACCGCUGGCUGCCUGAUGCACGAACUCAUGAGCGUCGGUUAUCAAGUAUCCUCCGAAAGAGUGCUGCGCAAAGUAAUAAAGAAUGAGAUGAUAAAGAUUAAAGCCAAACAUUGUAAAUCGGAAUAAUUCGCGACGACGUCAAGCCAUCGUUUCCAUGACGUCACACGAGGUGAUCAUGGGGGAGUGGUGGGUUAUGGGGGGGAAGCAUUGGUAAGGGGGAAGGAGGAGGAGGAAGUAGGGAAUGGAGGUGGGUGAAUAAGGAGGGACGUGGGCUGAGGGAGUGAAGGAGAGAGAGAGAGACACACAGAAAU